rnacentral:rRNA from 1 species
CUCUGUGACUCCUACGGGGAGGCAGCAGUGGGGAAUAUUGCACAAUGGGGGAAACCCUGAUGCAGCCAUGCCGCGUGUGUGAAGAAGGCCUUCGGGUUGUAAAGCACUUUCAGUAGGGAGGAAGGUAGUGUAGUUAACACCUGCACUAUUUGACGUUACCUACAGAAGAAGCACCGGCUAACUCCGUGCCAGCAGCCGCGGUAAUACGGAGGGUGCGAGCGUUAAUCGGAAUUACUGGGCGUAAAGCGCAUGCAGGCGGCCUGUUAAGUCAGAUGUGAAAGACCCGGGGCUUAACCUCGGAAUUGCAUUUGAAACUGGCAGGCUAGAGUCUUGUAGAGGGGGGUAGGAAUUUCAGGUGUAGCGGUGAAAUGCGUAGAGAUCUGAAGGAAUACCAGUGGCGAAGGCGGCCCCCUGGACAAAGACUGACGCUCAGAUGCGAAAGCGUGGGGAGCAAACAGGAUUAGAUACCCUGGUAG